rnacentral:lncRNA from 10 species
AGCUUCUCCUGCCUUGUUCCUGCCUGACUAGCUGCCUACUUUAACAUUUUUAACGAUAAAGAAUGUGAGUUCCAUGAGGAAGAGGGCAGGGAUCUUGAUUUUGUUCCCUGCUGUAUUCCCAAGGUGUAGAAUGAAGACUGACACAUAACCAUGCCUGCUUUCUCUUCACCUUCCACCAUGAUUGGUAGUUUCCUGAGGCCUCCCCAGCCAUGUCCCCUGUACAGCCUGUGGAACUGGGAGCAGCUGCAAAGGAACACCACAAUGAUAUUCCACUGGAAAAAGGGCCAAACCACCUGAUCAUAAGAACAUCUUAUCAAUAUCCUCCUGGGCAGCAAGCCAUACUGCCCAGCUCCCUCCCACCCAUACCUCUGCAACCAGGAUCACCCCCAUUGCUGGACAUCACAUCCAACACUGGGCUUCAAUUCGUGGGGGCUCUUCGUCUUCUCCCCAUUGGUGCUGGAAGUUGGCUGUUCCAUGAUUCUGUUCCUUCAUAUGCACCUUGAAGACCAUUUACUUUUAGGCUACUGCCAGGCAAAUUUCAACCCAUGUUAUUUUACUCAAUGUCCGUGUAGUUCUUUUAAAUUUCCUAUUUCCAAUCUGCAAUAAUGGCCUUCAGUCUGUCAAAAUUUUAGUGAAUAAACAUUCUUUACUGUGUAUCCUAGUCUUGUUUCAAAUGAGGGGUGUAUUUUCAUAGUAAAUGUAGUCUCCCAACAUGAAUUCUGCCAGUAUGUGGGUGGGGGAAGGAGUGGAUAUUCAAGUGCUGGAAGUUGUUCUCAGUGUUUACAUGCAGGAUGCUACAAUCUAAGACCCACAUGUGCACCAGUAUGGGCAUAGUUAUACUUUGUACUGAAGAUUGUGUCCAGUGCAAAAAGAAAAAUGCAUUCAGUUUGG